GCAUAUCAAUAAGCGGAGGAAAAGAAACCAACAGGGAUUGCCUUAGUAACGGCGAGUGAAGCGGCAACAGCUCAAAUUUGAAAUCUGGCCCCCAGGCCCGAGUUGUAAUUUGUAGAGGAUGCUUCUGGCGACGCGCCUUCCGAGUUCCCUGGAACGGGACGCCAAAGAGGGUGAGAGCCCCGUCCGGUCGUGCGCCUAGCCUCUGUGAAGCUCCUUCGACGAGUCGAGUAGUUUGGGAAUGCUGCUCUAAAUGGGAGGUAUACGUCUUCUAAAGCUAAAUACCGGCCAGAGACCGAUAGCGCACAAGUAGAGUGAUCGAAAGAUGAAAAGCACUUUGAAAAGAGGGUUAAAUAGUACGUGAAAUUGCUGAAAGGGAAGCGCUUAUGACCAGACUUGGGCUUGGUGAAUCAUCCGGCGUUCUCGCCGGUGCACUUUGCCGGUCCAGGCCAGCAUCAGUUCGUCCCGGGGGAUAAAGGCUUCGGGAACGUAGCUCUUUCGGGAGUGUUAUAGACCGUUGCGUAAUACCCUGGGGUGGACUGAGGUACGCGUUCUGCAAGGAUGCUGGCGUAAUGGUCAUCAGUGACCCGUCUUGAAACACGGACCAAGGAGUCGUCUUCGUAUGCGAGUGUUCGGGUGUCAAACCCCUACGCGUAAUGAAAGUGAACGUAGGAGAGAGCUUCGGCGCAUCUCCGACCGAUCCUGAUGUUCUCGGAUGGAUUUGAGUAAGAGCAUACGGGGCCGGACCCGAAAGAAGGUGAACUAUGCCUGUAUAGGGUGAAGCCAGAGGAAACUCUGGUGGAGGCUCGCAGCGGUUCUGACGUGCAAAUCGAUCGUCAAAUAUGGGCAUGGGGGCGAAAGACUAAUCGAACCUUCUAGUAGCUGGUUUCCGCGA
rnacentral:rRNA from 1 species